ACUCCUACGGGAGGCAGCAGUAGGGAAUCUUCCACAAUGGGCGCAAGCCUGAUGGAGCAACACCGCGUGAGUGAAGAAGGGUUUCGGCUCGUAAAGCUCUGUUGUUAAAGAAGAACACGUAUGAGAGUAACUGUUCAUACGUUGACGGUAUUUAACCAGAAAGUCACGGCUAACUACGUGCCAGCAGCCGCGGUAAUACGUAGGUGGCAAGCGUUAUCCGGAUUUAUUGGGCGUAAAGAGAGUGCAGGCGGUUUUCUAAGUCUGAUGUGAAAGCCUUCGGCUUAACCGGAGAAGUGCAUCGGAAGCUGGAUAACUUGAGUGCAGAAGAGGGUAGUGGAACUCCAUGUGUAGCGGUGGAAUGCGUAGAUAUAUGGAAGAACACCAGUGGCGAAGGCGGCUACCUGGUCUGCAACUGACGCUGAGACUCGAAAGCAUGGGUAGCGAACAGGAUUAGAUACCCUGGUAGGAUAGCG
rnacentral:rRNA from 1 species